rnacentral:snRNA from 1 species
AUACUUACCUGGCGCUCCGAUUGUGCGAUCAACAAGGCGUGGUCGGGUUCUUGGACCUCUUCCAUUGCACGAACGUGAGAGGAACGGGGAUCACAACAUCUUCGGGUGUUCGUGGGCGCAUCAUUUUUGAGGAGGGAGGUCCUGCGUUCGCGCGGGGUCCUCCC